CUUUCAAAAGAUAUAGAUAAACUCAUCAUAGAUACCAGGAUUAAAUUUUGUAUUUACGCCAUACGCGCGUUUCGUCUACAAAAGACUCAUCAGUGACGCUCGAAUCCAAAAAAGUUAAAAAGGCCAAAUAGAGUACGAUGCUUUUUAAAUGUCAGAUUUUAUCAUCCUGUACAUCAAUUUAACAAGUACGAAAACAUAUCUCAGCAAACCCUAAUUCUCAAAAACACACAACCUUAACAACCUCAACAACACUUUUUCUCAACAAUACUGAUAUUCAACAACACAAACCUUGAAAAUGGUGAAACAUUAAUGUCAUUUGAAGAAAAGACACUAACGUUUUGCAAUCUAUGUAAUUAGUAUAAAAAAGGG
rnacentral:lncRNA from 1 species